rnacentral:rRNA from 1 species
GACGAACGCUGGCGGCGUGCCUAAUACAUGCAAGUAGAACGCAGUUGCGAACGGGUGAGUAACGGGUAGGUAACUGCCUCAUAGCGGGGGAUAACUAUUGGCAACGAUAGCUAAUACCUCAUACUUUGAGAUGGACCUGCGUUGUAUUAGCUAGUUGGUGAGGUAAAGGCUCACGAAGGCGACGAUACAUGGCAGACCUGAGAGGGUGAUCGGCAACAUGGGGAAUGAGACACGGCCCAGACUCCUACGGGAGGCAGCAGUAGGGAAUCUUCGGCAAUGGACGGAAGUCUGACCGAGCAACGCCGCGUGAGUGAAGAAGGUUUGCGGAUCGUAAAACUCUGUUGUUAGAGAAGCGGUAUCUAACCAGAAAGCCACGGCUAACUACGUGCCAGCAGCCGCGGUAAUUC